rnacentral:tRNA from 1 species
CGCGGCGUUCGUCAGGGUUAUGAUCCCGCCUCAGAGGCGGGAUCGCUGGUUCAAAUCCAGCCCCCGCAACCA